rnacentral:lncRNA from 1 species
AUUGCGCCCCUCAAAACUUUAAAAAUAUCAUAAAUAUCCCUAUAAAUUUUAAUUAUAUUAUAAAUAUCCAUAUAAAAGAUAGGCUAAUUUGCAUAAAAAAUUCACUAGUUUCGAGAUUUUGUAAAAGUAAGCCAUUUUUUUGAAUUUUGCAGAUUCGAUCCGAUUUUUUAAAAAAUGAUCAAAUCACCAUUCUUUCAAAAUACAUAAAAAGUACAUGUAUUAAAUAUCUUGAAAAAUACAACUGACAAGUCACUAUUACAGCUAUUUUCUUUUGAAAAAUAAAAUUAUCAUUUAAUAUAUAAAUAAAAAAUUUUAAAUAAUAAAAAAAGAAGAAAGAAUGGAAUACCGGUUAAAUAGUGCAAGAUUCUCUUAAAUAGUAUAAUAUUUUCUUUCAAAUAGUAUAAUAUUUUUACAAAUAGUACAAUAUUUGCACAUUUUAUAUAAUGUUGUAUAAUUUUUAUACUAAAUUACUAAUAAUAUAAUAUAUUAUGCGCAAAUAAUACAAUAUAUUAUAAUAUAUUAUAAAAAUUAUGCAAUAUGUGUAUAAACAGUGCAUAUGUUGCACUAUUUGUACAAAUGCUUACAUCAUUUGUGUAAACGUUGCACUAUUAUGAAAAAAUGUUGCAUUAUUUAGAUGGUAUGUUAUACUUUUUCUUUAUUAAAAAAUUAUAUUAUAUUAUAUAUUAAAUAAAGUGUCAAAUUUUUUGAAAAUGACAACUAUUAAGUCAUAAUUGCUUGUACCUUUAUUUAGAAAUGAGAAUUCUCAUUUAAGACAAAAUAAAAAAGUAAAAUAUAAUUUAUAAAAUAAAAGAGUGGAAUAUCUUUUUAAAUAGUGCAACAUUUUUCUCCAAAUAGUGCAAUAUAUGUAUAAUUUGUACACAUAUUGUAUGAUUUUUCUACUAAAUUAAAAAUAAUAUAUUAUAUUACGUACAAAUAAAUAAU